GUUGAGCCGCUUAACAAUGACUUGUAACCCAUGUGGGGGUUUCAUCGUAUCCUGUCGGAACUUUUAGGAGGACUACUUGCUCGUCCAUCCCAAGAAGGGAGUUGGGCCUCGUAUUCUAGAUGAAAAUCCAACGUGCGAAGCCUUGAGAUUGGCGGAAAUUGCGUGAGGGUUGGCCUUACAGAGUAGUGUCACCUCCUGCUCUCGUUGGUGGAUAGAUAACGUGCAAGUUUUUAAGAGCUUAAUUACCCUGGUACAAAGUUCAAGA
rnacentral:SRP_RNA from 1 species